AUUUGGGCCUUGUUUAUGAAGAGAUGACACAAAAAUGUGGGAAUUUGGGUCUUAUGAAGAGAGGAUACACAAAUGUGGAUAUUUAAGUGGAAAUGUGGGUCUUGUUUAGGGAGAUACAGAAAUUUGGGUAUUUAGGUGGGAAUUUGGGUCUUAUUGAGGAAGAGACAACACAUAAAUGUGGGAAUUUGGGUCUUUUUGUGAGGAGAGGGUAUAAAAAUGUGGGAAUUUGGGGUCUUAUGAAGAGAAAAUAGACAAAUGUGGGUGUUUAGGUGGGAAUUUGGGUUGUAUUUAUGAAGAGAAGAUACACAAAUGUGGAUAUUUAGGUGGAAAUUUGGGUCUUGCUUAUGAAGAGAAUGCAUAAAUGUGGGAAUUUGGGUCUUAUUCAUGAAGAGAAGAUACACAAAUAUGGAUAUUUAGGUGAGAAUUUGGGUCUUGUUUAUGAAGAGAGGACACACACACGUGGGAAUUUGGGUCUGUUUGUGAGGAGAGGGUACGAAAAUGUGGGAAUUUGGGCCUUUUUUAGGAAGAGGACACACAGAUGUGGGUAUUUAGGUGGAAAUUUGGGCCUUGUUUAUGAAGAGAUGACACAUAGAUGUGGGAAUUUGGGUCUUAUGAAGAGAGGAUACACAAAUGUGGAUAUUUAGGUGGAAAUUUGGGUCUUGUUUAGGAAGAUAGAGAAAUUUGGGUAUUUAGGUGGGAAUUUGGGUCUUAUUGAGGAAGAGACAACACAUAAAUGUGCGAAUUGGGGUCUUUUUGUGAGGAGAGGGUACAAAAAUGUGGGAAUUUGGGUCUUAUGAAGAGAAAAUACACAAAUGUGGGUGUUUAGGUGGGAAUUUGGGUGUUAUUUAGGAAGAGGACACACAGAUGUGGGUAUUUAGGUGGAAAUUUGGGCCUUGUUUAUGAAGAGAUGACACAUAGAUGUGGGAAUUUGGGUCUUAUGAAGAGAGGAUACACAGAUGUGAAUAUUUAGGUGAGAAUUGGGGUCUUUUUGUGAGGACAGGACACACAAAUGAGGGCAUUUCGCUCUGAUUCAUAACAACGCGUCCCACCAUCGCUCCCUCACGGAACCCAUCUGGCGCCAAAACGGCCCACAGCAGCGCGCGAACC
rnacentral:lncRNA from 1 species